rnacentral:rRNA from 1 species
GGACGGGUGAGUAACGCGUGGAAAACCUGCCGUAUACUGGGGGAUAACACUUAGAAAUAGGUGCUAAUACCGCAUAAGCGCACAGCUUCGCAUGAAGCGGUGUGAAAAACUCUGGUGGUAUACGAUGGUUCCGCGUCUGAUUAGCUAGUUGGUGGGGUAAUGGCCUACCAAGGCAACGAUCAGUAGCCGGCCUGAGAGGGUGAACGGCCACAUUGGGACUGAGACACGGCCCAAACUCCUACGGGAGGCAGCAG